CCUACGGGUGGCAGCAGUAGGGAAUCUUCCACAAUGGACGAAAGUCUGAUGGAGCAACGCCGCGUGAGUGAAGAAGGGUUUCGGCUCGUAAAGCUCUGUUGGUCGUGAAGAAAGAUAGAGGUAGUAACUCGCCUUUAUUUGACGGUAAUUACUUAGAAAGUCACGGCUAACUCCGUGCCAGCAGCCGCGGUAAUACGUAGGUGGCAAGCGUUGUUCGGAAUUAUUGGGCGUAAAGCGCGUGCAGGCGGUUCAAUAAGUCUGAUGUGAAAGCCUUCGGCUUAACCGGAGAAUUGCAUCAGAUACUGGUGAACUUGAGUGCAGAAGAGGAGAGUGGAACUCCAUGUGUAGCGGUGGAAUGCGUAGAGAUAUGGAAGAACACCAGUGGCGAAGGCGGCCCUCUGGAC
rnacentral:rRNA from 1 species